UGGGGAAUCUUGGACAAUGGGGGCGACCCUGAUCCAGCCAUGCCGCGUGGGUGAAGAAGGCCUUAGGGUUGUAAAGCCCUUUCAGUCGUGACGAUGAUGACGGUAGCGACAGAAGAAGCCCCGGCUAACUCCGUGCCAGCAGCCGCGGUAAUACGGAGGGGGCAAGCGUUGUUCGGAUUUACUGGGCGUAAAGGGCGCGUAGGCGGAUGAUCAAGUCAGAGGUGAAAGGCCCGGGCACAACCUGGGACGUGCCUUUGAAACUGAUUGUCUUGAGUGCGGGAGAGGGUGACGGAAUUCCCAGUGUAGAGGUGAAAUUCGUAGAUAUUGGGAAGAACACCGGUGGCGAAGGCGACUCUCUGGUCCGGUACUGACGCUGAGGUGCGAAAGCGUGGGGAGCAAACAGGAUUAGAUACCCCCGUAGUCC
rnacentral:rRNA from 1 species